rnacentral:tRNA from 25 species
GGGCCUGUAGCUCAGUUGGCAGAGCAUCGGACUUUUAAUCCGCGGGUCGUGGGUUCGAGCCCCACCGGGCCCACCC